GAUGAACGCUGGCGGCGUGCCUAAUACAUGCAAGUCGAGCGAACAGACGAGAGUGCUUGCACUCUCUGACGUUAGCGGCGGACGGGUGAGUAACACGUGGGUAACCUACCUAUAAGACUGGGAUAACUUCGGGAAACCGGAGCUAAUACCGGAUAAUAUUUAGCUUCGCAUGAAGCAAUAGUGAAAGACGGUUCUGCUGUCACUUAUAGAUGGACCCGCGGUGUAUUAGCUAGUUGGUGAGGUAACGGCUCACCAAGGCAACGAUACAUAGCCGACCUGAGAGGGUGAUCGGCCACACUGGGACUGAGACACGGCCCAGACUCCUACGGGAGGCAGCAGUAGGGAAUCUUCCGCAAUGGACGAAAGUCUGACGGAGCGAUGCCGCGUGAGUGAAGAAGGUUUUCGGAUCGUAAAACUCUGUUGUAAGGGAAGAACAAGUACGUUAGUAACUGAACGUACCUUGACGGUACCUUACCAGAAAGCCACGGCUAACUACGUG
rnacentral:rRNA from 1 species